rnacentral:lncRNA from 1 species
UAUGAUGAUAAAGGUAAUGAACUUCUGAAUCAUACUAAGCUGAAGCAGCGAAUGCCAGUAACUACCACUCGCAAGGCCUGGAGGCUGAGGAAGGUGCUCUCAGAAACACGGGAUCUUCAGUAACAUUCUCUAAGUCUGAUCUACUGGAAAGGCAGACAAAUAGAAGGAUCACCUGGCAAUUCAAUCACAAGUUCUUGAGAGACUGAUUGUCAAUCACCCAUGUCAUGCGUUCAAAUCAACUCUUGAUCCUCUCCCCACUUGCAGACUACUUUGGAUCAUUGUUCCUGACUCAGCACCCACUGCCCAGUUGUCUUUGAUGCAAACCCAGGGUGAGCCAUCAAUUGGUAUCAGUCCUGGAAGAUCUAGAGUUCAUUUCCUAUUGACACAAUGUAACGUAUCAUCAGAUAGUACUUUUUUUUAUAAUCAUCAGAAUUUGGAGUUACCUGAAAAGACUUUAAUGCCCCCAUUUAGAUUGGCUGCUCUGCAUCAUCACACGGAAGAGGUAAGAUGGCCACUGCAUAAGGGUUUUGGUUUACAAAGUCCUAUGAUGAGUUUAUAAUUAUUUACAUCUCAGCUGUCUUAUAUCCAGCCGGGUGUAAGCUGUAAGGGCCUGUUUCAAAGCAGAAGAUUUAUGUUU